UUGACAUUACAGUUGAUCUGGAAGUAUUACGUUUUUGGGGCACUAAAAUAAGGGCAAUUGUACGGACCAAGGUGAUGUACGAGUUUACGUGAGUUUACGUUAGCUAGUCUCAGUCUGGAUACAGACAGUUACUUUAACAUUAUAUUGAAAUGAAAUGAUUGUCUCAAAUUGAAGCUAUCCAUUUUGACACUACUUAAACUGUGUUAAUGUUAUGUCUCCCCACUGCUCAGAUACUAGAGGCUGAAUGGCCCUGAGAGUGCUUCUCCCACCCCAAGCGUACCGAAUGCAGAUACUAAAGACGACAUGGUCCUUGAGUGUUUCUCCCACCCCCAGUAUACUAAAGACGACAUAAUCCUGAGAGUGUUUUUCCCAACCCCAGUGUAACGAGUUGGAAAGAUGACUGCCAGCCCAAGCAUUGAUGAGGCCCGAAAGCCA